GCAGUCGACCGGUCUGUCGCUCUUUCCCUUCGGAAAGAGAGGAAAGUCCGGGCAACACAGGGCGCCAUACUACCUAACGGGUAGCUGUUCGCGAGGGCAGAGUACGGUAGAAGAAAAUAACCGCCAUCGCUUCGGCAUGGUAAGGGUGAGAAGGUGGUGUAAGAGACCACCGGGUAGGGCAGUAAUGCCAAACGCCGUACCGCUUAUGGGUUGCAAGGUCAUAUAUACCGGCGCAUGUAGGGCGGCUCGUCCGAUGCCGGGGGGUAGACCGCUUGAGCUUUCAUGAGAAUGAAAGUCGAGAUAAAUGACAGACACCGCUUCGUGCGGUACGGAACCCGGCUUACAGGUCGACUGCUUUU
rnacentral:RNase_P_RNA from 1 species